rnacentral:pre_miRNA from 1 species
AGGAGUCAGUCACUCUCAGGGUUUUGUAGCAUUUGUAGGACCCUGAGAGUGAGUACCUCCUGA